rnacentral:rRNA from 1 species
GACGAACGCUGGCGGCGUGCUUAACACAUGCAAGUCGAACGGAAAGGCCCCGUUUUUGGGGGGUGCUGGGGCGAACAGCGGAUUAGCACGUCGUUAGUAUCCCGUUGACUAUUUUGUGACAUCAUCAGGAUAGUGCGGAUACUAGCUAAUAGGUCCUCCUGCAGGGUGGGGGGGGGUAGGAAUCGGCGGUUGGGGAUGGACUCGCGGCUUAUCAGCUUGUUGGUGGGGUAGUGGCUGACCAAGGCUUUGACGGGUAGCCGGCCUGAGAGGGUGACCGGCCACAUUGGGACUGAGAUACGGCCCAGACUCCUACGGGAGGCAGCAGUGGGGAAUAUUGCACAAUGGGCGGAAGCCUGAUGCAGCAACGCCGCGUGCGGGAUGACGGCCUUCGGGUUGUAAACCGCUUUCGCCUGUGACGAAGCGUGAGUGACGGUAAUGGGUAAAGAAGCACCGGCUAACUACGUG